GACGAACCGUGCGAACGUUGUUCGGAAUCACUGGGCUUAAAGGGCGCGUAGGCGGCGGAUCGAGUCCGGGGUGAAAGCCCCCAGCUUAACUGGGGAAGGGCCUCGGAGACUGGUCCGCUCGAGGGAGGUAGGGGUCGCGGGAACUUCCGGUGGAGCGGUGAAAUGCGUAGAUAUCGGGAGGAACACCUGUGGCGAAAGCGGCGCACUGGACCACAACUGACGCUGAGGCGCGAAAGCUAGGGGAGCAAACAGG
rnacentral:rRNA from 1 species